rnacentral:rRNA from 1 species
UACGUAGGGGGCAAGCGUUGUCCGGAUUUACUGGGCGUAAAGAGCGCGUAGGCGGAAGGUUAAGCGUGCCUUGAAAGCCCCCGGCUCAACCGGGGAAGGUGGGUGCGAACUGGCUUUCUUGAGGGCGAUAGAGGGGGGCGGAAUUCCUGGUGUAGCGGUGAAAUGCGUAGAUAUCAAGAGGAACACCUGAGGUGAAGACGGGUUGCUGGGCUGACACUGACGCUGAGGCGCGAAAGCCAGGGGAGCAAACGGG